rnacentral:rRNA from 1 species
UACAGAGGGGGCUAGCGUUGUUCGGAAUUACUGGGCGUAAAGGGCGCGUAGGCGGCCCGCUAAGUCGAACGUGAAAUCCCCAGGCUCAACCUGGGAACUGCGUCCGAUACUGGCAGGCUUGAAUCCGGGAGAGGGAUGUGGAAUUCCAGGUGUAGCGGUGAAAUGCGUAGAUAUCGGGAGGAACACCUGUGGCGAAGGCGACCCCCUGGUUGGAUACUGACGCUGAGACGCGAAAGCGUGGGGAGCAAACAGG